rnacentral:rRNA from 1 species
GACGUAGGGCGCAAGCGUUGUCCGGAUUUAUUGGGCGUAAAGAGCUCGUAGGCGGCCUGUCGCGUCGACCGUGAAAACCCGCAGCUCAACUGCGGGCUUGCGGUCGAUACGGGCAGGCUGGAGUUCGGUAGGGGAGACUGGAAUUCCUGGUGUAGCGGUGAAAUGCGCAGAUAUCAGGAGGAACACCGGUGGCGAAGGCGGCUUCCUGGACACUUACUGACGCUGAGACGCGAAAGCGUGGGGAGCAAACAGG